rnacentral:rRNA from 1 species
UAAGUAAGCGGAGGAAAAGAAACUAACGAGGAUUCCCCCAGUAACAGCGAGUGAAUGGUGAAGAGCCCUGCGCCGAAGCCCCCGUCUCCACUGGACGGCGGGCAAUGUGGCGUGUGGGGCCACUGCCCGUGGCGGGUGCAAGGCCCGUUUGGCUUCUCGUCGCGUCUGCCUGUCGGCUCUCUCCCUGGAGUCGGGUUGCUUGAGAGUGCAGCCCUAAGUGGGUGGUAAACUCCACCGAAGGCUAAAUACUUCCACGAGACCGAUAGCAAACAAGUACCGUGAGAGAAAGUUGCAAGGAACUUUGAAGAGAGUUCAAGAGUAUGUGAAACUGAUCGGGUGCAAACGGGUGGGCCCUCGAAGGUCAAACGGGGGGGAUUCAACUUGUCCGCAGAAAGAAAGCCGUUGUCCGUGGCGGAAGCCCGGCAACGACAGCGGGCGGGCGCACUUCCACCACAGUAGGACGCCGCGACCGGUCGCGUCGCUUGAAAAAGGCGGUCUUGCGGCAGGAUGACGGCAGGUAUCCGUUGCGGACGUGCCCUCUACACCCUCGCGGUGGAAGGCUGUCGUUCGGAGUUACAGCCAGUCCUUGCUUCGUCCACUGCCCGACCGAUGUCAGCGGCGAGUAGGUCGGUCGCCCACCCGACCCGUCUUGAAACACGGACCAAGGAGUCUAACACGUGCGCGAGUCACAGGGUAACUCGCACGAACGCACGAAACCCUAAGGCGAAAUGAAAGUGAAGGUCGGGCACAGCCCCGUCCGAGGCAGGAUGCGUCCGGGUGAGCGAAGCUCUUCUUCCCUUCGCGGGUUCGUCCCGCGGGGGAGCUCGGCGCCGCACUGCCAGCCCAUCUCGGCCGCUUCCCGUCGGCGAGGUGGAGCCAGAGCGCACACGUUGGGACCCGAAAGAUGGUGAACUAUGCUCGGGCAGGACGAAGCCAGAGGAAACUCUGGUGGAGGUCCGUAGCGAUUCUGACGUGCAAAUCGAUCGUCGGACCCGAGUAUAGGGGCGAAAGACUAAUCGAACCGUCUAGUAGCUGGUUCCCUCCGAAGUUUCCCUCAGGAUAGCUGGUGCUCGGAGAGGAACGCAGUCUCAUCCGGUAAAGCGAAUGAUUAGAGGCCUUGGGGCCGAAACGACCUCAACCUAUUCUCAAACUUUCAAUGGGUGAGAAGUCCGGCUUGCUCGACUGAAGCCCGGACCUCACGACCAUAAGUUGAUCGUAAAACGUAUAACGAACGGGUCCGCCCGUUCGAGACGGAUGCGAGUGCCCAGUGGGCCAUUUUUGGUAAGCAGAACUGGCGCUGUGGGAUGAACCAAACGCCGGGUUACGGCGCCCGAUGCGGACGCUCAUCAGACCCCAUGAAAGGUGUUGGUUGCUAUAGACAGCAGGACGGUGGCCAUGGAAGUCGGAANNNNNNNNNNNNNNNNNNNNNNNNUUCCAUGUGAACAGCAGUUGAACAUGGGUCAGUCGGCCCUAAGGAAUAGGGGAAACCCGUUCCGAACCGGGGUGUCGUGAAAAACAGAGACCAACACGGCACUCGUUUAAAAACUGUAAAAAAUGAGAACCGAAAACAAAAUCCGAAAACGACCCCGAUGGCCCGAAAGGGAAUCGGGUUAAUAUUCCCGAACCCGGAUGCGGAGAUCGGACCCUCCUGGGUCCGAUGCGGUAACGCAAACGAACUCGGAGACGUCGGCGGGAGUCCCGGGAAGAGUUGUCUUUUCUUUGUAAGGGACGGACUCCCUGGAAUCGGCUCGCCCGGAGAGAGGGAUGUUGUUCCCGUAAAGCACCGCGGCUCUUGCGGUGUCCGGAGCGCUCCCGCCGGCCCUUGAAAAUCCGAGGGAGAGAACUAGAUUUUCGCACCGGACCGUACCCAUAUCCGCAGCAGGUCUCCAAGGUGAACAGCCUCUAGUCGAUAGAACA